rnacentral:misc_RNA from 1 species
CCGAAUUGUCAACACGAGUUGUUGCUGGUCCUCAAAUGGGGACAUGUGCACGCUCUGUUCACACAUCCACUCACACCUGUGCACCCUCUGUAGUUCUAUGGCCUGGGGGACCGUUGUCCCCCUUGCCGUGGUUCUAUGUCUUUACACACACACUGUAAUAAAGUUUCAUGGAAUGUAGUCGCGUUUAACGCAAUACAAUA